rnacentral:hammerhead_ribozyme from 1 species
AUCCAGAUGACGAGUCCCAGAGGGGAUGAAAGGCGCGUUUUGGAU